rnacentral:RNase_P_RNA from 1 species
GGUGGGCCAGGCGACCGCGGGGCGUCUUUGACGCCAUGAGGAAAGUCCGGGCUCCACAGGGCAGGAAGCAGGCUAACGGCCUGGCGGGGUAACCCGACGGAAAGCGCCGCAGAAAAGAAGACUCCCGCUGCCCGCUUUGCGGGUGAGAGAAAAGCUGAAACGGUGGUGUAAGAGACCACCAGCGUCGUGGCAACACGGCGGCUUGGCAAGCCCCUUCCGGAGCAAACGCAUGUAGGAGCGCUAUGGUGUGGCCCGCACUGCGCUCGGGUAGCGCGCUAGAGGCGGACGGUGACGUCCGCAGUAGAUAAAUGGUCGCCCCCGACAGAACCCGGCUUAUAGGCCCACCU